GAAGCAGGUAAGUUGUUUUGCGAACACCUAGGGAGAGUUUGCUAAGCUCUGGUCAUCAGAGCAGCAUGAUUCAGUAUGUGUUCUACUGACAUUCAAUUUUUGUAAAGUUCAUAGAAGAGUAAUAUUAUAAUGAAGGCUACAAAUAGCAUCUUAUUUUGAUGAGCAAUGCUAGCUGGAUUAUUGUGUGCACUUAUAAUUAUGGUGCCAUGACUGUCAUCCUAUAAAAUGAAAUUUUAUAUUGCAACAUCUUUUGUUUUUCUGACCAGCUGCUCUUCAUUGUGGCAGUUAUUUAAGCCUCGACAUUUGUGUGCAUUGCUACUGGAGAAGCAUGUUCAUCAUUUGGGUUUACAGCUUGUAUUAUUGCAGUUUGCAUUACUUUUGCAUGCAACAUCAACCAGCCGCUCCUUACGUUGGGUCGUGUUAACUGCCUUGGUGGACAAGGGACCACACGUUGCGUACAGAGAUGCAGUAAGGAGGAUUGGCACCAGUGUAAAGCAACACACUCCACACGCUAAAGACAAGCUACUUCCUGCUACUACAAGGUUUACAUGGAUGCUGCUGAACGAUCUUGGGGUGGACGGCGUCAGUGUGUACGUGGGUUUCGUAGAAGACUGGUUGCAGGGUGGUAUCAACGGGGAACCGGCGACGGCGAAGCAAUAAACGUGUACAAAGAGGCACUGGCAGUACUUGACAGAUGCUUUUCGCCUGAAGACAAAGUUUG